rnacentral:rRNA from 1 species
UGGGGAAUUUUGCACAAUGGGGGAAACCCUGAUGCAGCGACGCCGCGUGAUUUAGAAGGCCUUCGGGUUGUAAAAAUCUUUUUUAUGGGAUGAAAAUGACAGUACCAUAAGAAUAAGGUUCGGCUAAAUACGUGCCAGCAGCCGCGGUAAUACGUAUGGACCGAGCGUUGUCCGGAAUCAUUGGGCGUAAAGGGUACGUAGGCGGCCCAGGAAGUUAGAAGUGAAAUAAUAUAGCUCAACUAUAUAAAGCUUUUAAAACUGCUAGGCUUGAGGGAUGGAAAGGAGAGUGGAAUUCCUAGUGUAGCGGUGAAGAGCGCAGAUAUUAGGAAGAAUACCGGUGGCGAAGACGACUUUCUGGUCAUCAUCUGACGCUGAGGUACGGAAGCGUGGGUGGCAGACAGG